rnacentral:rRNA from 1 species
CCCUACGGGACGCAGCAGUCGAGAAUCAUUCUCAAUGGGGGAAACCCUGAUGGUGCGACGCCGCGUGGGGGAAUGAAGGUCUUCGGAUUGUAAACCCCUGUCAUGUGGGAGCAAAUUAAAAAGAUAGUACCACAAGAGGAAGAGACGGCUAACUCUGUGCCAGCAGCCGCGGUAAUACAGAGGUCUCAAGCGUUGUUCGGAAUCACUGGGCGUAAAGCGUGCGUAGGCUGUUUCGUAAGACGUGUGUGAAAGGCGCGGGCUCAACCCGCGGACGGCACAUGUUACUGCGAGACUAGAGUGAUGGG